GACGAACGCUGGCGGCGUGCUUAACACAUGCGAGUCGAACGGUGAAGCGAGUGCUUGCACUCGUGGAUCAGUGGCGAACGGGUGAGUAACACGUGAGUAACCUGCCCAUCACUCUGGGAUAAGCACUGGAAACGGUGUCUAAUACUGGAUACGACCAACCCUUGCAUGGGGUGUUGGUGGAAAGAUUUAUCGGUGAUGGAUGGACUCGCGGCCUAUCAGCUUGUUGGCGGGGUAAUGGCCCACCAAGGCGACGACGGGUAGCCGGCCUGAGAGGGUGACCGGCCACACUGGGACUGAGACACGGCCCAGACUCCUACGGGAGGCAGCAGUGGGGAAUAUUGCACAAUGGGCGAAAGCCUGAUGCAGCGACGCCGCGUGAGGGAUGACGGCCUUCGGGUUGUAAACCUCUUUCAGCAGGGAAGAAGCGAAAGUGACGGUACCUGCAGAAGAAGCACCGGCUAACCACGUG
rnacentral:rRNA from 1 species